UACGUAGGGUGCGAGCGUUGUCCGGAAUUACUGGGCGUAAAGAGCUCGUAGGUGGUUUGUCGCGUUGUUCGUGAAAACUCACAGCUUAACUGUGGGCGUGCGGGCGAUACGGGCAGACUGGAGUACUGCAGGGGAGACUGGAAUUCCUGGUGUAGCGGUGGAAUGCGCAGAUAUCAGGAGGAACACCCGUGGCUAAGGCGGCUCUCUAGUACGGUACUGACGCUGAGACGCGAAAGCGUGGGGAGCGAACAGG
rnacentral:rRNA from 1 species